AACGAACGCUGGCGGCAGGCCUAACACAUGCAAGUCGAGCGAAGCCUUCGGGCUUAGCGGCGGACGGGUGAGUAACGCGUGGGAACGUGCCCUUUGGUACGGAAUAGCCCCGGGAAACUGGGAGUAAUACCGUAUGUGGUCGAGAGGCGAAAGAUUUAUCGCCAAAGGAUCGGCCCGCGUUGGAUUAGGUAGUUGGUGGGGUAAUGGCCUACCAGGCCGACGAUCCAUAGCUGGUUUGAGAGGAUGAUCAGCCACACUGGGACUGAGACACGGCCCAGACUCCUACGGGAGGCAGCAGUGGGGAAUCUUAGACAAUGGGGGAAACCCUGAUCUAGCCAUGCCGCGUGAUCGAUGAAGGCCUUAGGGUUGUAAAGAUCUUUCAGUGGGGAAGAUAAUGACUGUACCCACAGAAGAAGCCCCGGCUAACUCCGUGCCAGCCGCCGCGGUAA
rnacentral:rRNA from 1 species